rnacentral:lncRNA from 1 species
AUUGGGGAAGGUGACAUGCAAAUUUGCAUGCAGGUGGAGCAUGUAGUGGCAUAUUAGCAUCAGCUCACAGUUGGUGAAAGACAGGAUAUGAGCAAUGUUGUGUUAAGAGGAAGCUGGUCCAGUUGUCUUUCUGGUGCCCGAUGGUGAGCCUGUGGAGUGUGUUGCUAGAGUCUGGCAGGAAGGACGGUGCAAUCUGUGCUCAGUGAUGGCAAUGUCUCCCAAGUGCUAUUCCUGAGUUGUGGCGAAUUCAUUCAUGUGGUCUGUGACUGUUGGGCAACAAGUAAUGUCUUCCCUCGCAUGAUGAAAGCUUCUUUGCUAGAGAGACGACCGAGAACUAGAGAGAAGCACCUGCAGAUGUCCUUACACAGCUGGCCAGCGUCCAGAGUGGAGAAUUGGACCUGA